CCAAAUGGUGGCGCAGGUUCUAGGACUGGGGAGAAAAGAAUCCAUCUCCAUCGGAGGACUGAGCGGGCAUUCGGCCGCAGACAUGCCGGAGAACGCAAGCACAAAAGGGGCCUUUCUGAAUGCGGCCACAGGGAACAGCAACUCUGGCGGCAAUCGCAGUUCUUAGCAGGAUAAAGAUAAACCGGCUCAGAUCCGCUUCAGCAACAUUUCUGCGGGGAAAGAGAGCUAAUUUCAGAUGGUGGAGCACCAGAAAUAGACUUGGCAUUACACUUGAAUGAAUAGUCACGUGGUUUAAGUGGCAUGGAAUCUUUUUGCGUUCCUGCUUAUGGAGAGGCUCUGGGAAUUAUGCCAUUCACCCCGCCUUAAAUGCAGGCCUUAAUCUGAUUGAUACUGUUACAGAGCUGGGACAGAUAUGCGCAAGAAGAGAAAACUGUUGGCAUUAAUGUCAGAAAGGUGAACACUCAAAGAAAUGACUAAAGGAAGAGGCAGUACUCUUAACUAGUACACUACCCUAAGUUUGGAACUUGGCUCCUUUAUAGAAUCACUGCGUUAGACACUUACUGUCAGGCCUGCAGUCAUAUUCCGUUUAGGAUUUUGGCUUGCCACACACACACAUUUUCUUUACUAUGCUGUU